rnacentral:rRNA from 1 species
UACGGGGGGGGCAAGCGUUGUUCGGAAUUACUGGGCGUAAAGGGCUCGUAGGCGGCCAACUAAGUCAGACGUGAAAUCCCUCGGCUUAACCGGGGAACUGCGUCUGAUACUGGAUGGCUUGAGGUUGGGAGAGGGAUGCGGAAUUCCAGGUGUAGCGGUGAAAUGCGCAGAUAUCAGGAGGAACACCAAUGGCGAAGGCAGCUCGCUGGGACGGUACUGACGCUGAGGCGCGAAAGCGUGGGGAGCAAACAGG